GAUGAACGCUGGCGGCGUGCCUAAUACAUGCAAGUCGAGCGAACGGACGAGAAGCUUGCUUCUCUUAUGUUAGCGGCGGACGGGUGAGUAACACGUGGAUAACCUACCUAUAAGACUGGGAUAACUUCGGGAAACCGUAUCUAAUACCGGAUAAUAUUUUGAACCUCAUGGUUCAAAAGUGAAAGACGGUCUUGCUGUCACUUAUAGAUGGAUCCUCGCUGCAUUAGCUAGUUGGUAAGGUAACGGCUUACCAAGGCAACGAUGCAUAGCCGAUCUGAGAGGGUGAUCAGCCACACUGGAACUGAGACACGGUCCAGACUCCUACGGGAGGCAGCAGUAGGGAAUCUUGCGCAAUGGGCGAAAGCCUGAUGGAGCAACGCCGCGUGAGUGAUGAAGGUCUUCGGAUCGUAAAACUCUGUUAUUAGGGAAGAACAUAUGUGUAAGUAACUGUGCACAUCUUGACGGUACCUAAUCAGAAAGCAACGGCUAACUACGUG
rnacentral:rRNA from 1 species